rnacentral:rRNA from 1 species
GACGAAGGGGACUAGCGUUGCUCGGAAUUACUGGGCGUAAAGCGCACGUAGGCGGAUUGUUAAGUCGGGGGUGAAAUCCCGGAGCUCAACUCCGGAACUGCCUUCGAUACUGACGAUCUUGAGUCCGGGAGAGGUGAGUGGAACUGCGAGUGUAGAGGUGAAAUUCGUAGAUAUUCGCAAGAACACCAGUGGCGAAGGCGGCUCACUGGCCCGGUACUGACGCUGAGGUGCGAAAGCGUGGGGAGCAAACAGG